AUAAAAAUAAAAAAUAAAAACUCAGAUCCUGUUUUUUUUCCCCCCCACACGCAGUUUCCUGUUUCUGUUAAACCCACGCGAUUUACUGUAAAGAAACCUUCAUCACCUUCUUGUAUAGAGCAAUCUGAUUGGUUAGUUAGCUGCCUGCACUGCAGAGUUUAACCCUUAAGCCAUCAAACUUUAGUGAGAACUCUCACUACCAUGUGCCAUGAUGUCACCAAUCAAUCAUUCCAAGGUCUGAGAGACUGAGGUGUUGCUGGCUGAUAAUAACUGUGUCCAUGUGUAUUAUGUUUCAUGGAUAUGAGAAAUAUAUUUCAAUUGUUUCACUCACAUUAUGCAUUUAAUUUCUGAUUCUGGCCCUGUGGUGUAGACAACAGCCUGGAUCCAUGACAGAUGCUUUAAACCGUCUCACAUUGUCAAACAAAUAUCUUGAAGAAAAAAACAGGACCCAGUUUUCAUUUUGCACUGAUCUGUCACUUUAAGAAUCAACUUUGAACAUGGGGAGUCAGCAUCAUUGGAGGAAAGAGAAGGCGUUCACCUACAUGUGAUUUAGGGUCAUACAAAUUAUCAGCUUAUAAAAAGCGAACAUUCAGUUACACCAGCUAAUCUCGUUCAGGUUUGUCUAGUCAUACAGUGUUACCGGUGCAGUGGAAUGGAAGCUGAUCUGAGGAUUAUUCUGGUGGGUAAGACAGGAGCUGGGAAGAGCAGCACAGCCAACACCAUUCUCGGAGAGAAGCUUCUCAAAUCGUCAUGUCGUGCAAACUCGGAUACA